GUCCGCGCCCCAGCAGCUUCCGUGAAGCGACUUCCGUCUCCGCAGAGUGGCCGGCCCCGCGCAGACGCAGAAUCAGACAACUCCGGCGGGGCGGAGUUCCACUGAGAGGGUUCUCUGUCUUCCGGUUUCCCGUCGCGAGCUCUUCUUCCGGGGGAAGGAUGGAGGGAGUGCAGCUGCCGCGGGGUGGGGCCCGCCGACCGGCCAGCUGCUCACCAGUUUUUACACGGGCUGGCCCCAGGCUCCGGGUGCUGUCCAGAGUGGGCUCAGUCCCUGGCUCCUCCCAGAAGUGAUUUUGAAUGUUCUUAACAACGGAAAGGGCACAGACAGUGACAAUCAAGCUCCAGCCCUGACCCAUGGGAAUGGAUGGCAUCGCUGUCCUCCGUGCCAGCUGGGUCCCUAGGCCCAUCCUCCCUGCGCAGUCUCCUGGACCUGCUUCCGCCCGCCGGGAGCCGCCUCAGGCCGGAGGCGUCUCAAUGGCUGUCUGCGCCUCACAGGGUCCGGAGGAAGAGGAACCACCCCGUCUGCCCGUCCAGCGUUUGCUGGGUGCCCGCCGUGUGCCCGAGCGGCUCUGAGUCCAGCAGGGAGGCGGACGCUCGGCGGUAACCGUGGCGGGUCCCCCCGUUGCGGCUGCUGGAAAGUGCUAGGAGCUCCAGGACCAGCUUAACUAGAAGUGAUGAUGGUGUUGAGAGCACGGAUACGAUGGCAACAUCUGUCUUGUUCACGCUCUUCAAGGGAACGCAUCUGAUGCUGCACUGCUAAGGGCACUUGCUGCUGCUCCAGCCACAAAACUUAAGGAGGUAGAGGAAGUUUUUCCCUCCCUUCAAAACGGAACGAGAUAGUGGAGUUGACCGGCCUCCCCCUUCCCCUGGCAUCGAAGCAGUAACACGAGGCGGUGGGAGAGGGGCUGGUUGGCGCUCCGCUUCCCUCUCCCUCCCAGGUUUCUCACCAGAGCUCCUGCCCCCACUGCUCAGCCACAUGCCAGCGUGACUCAGACUUCUUUCCUUCUCCUUGGUGGCGGUGGGGCCCAACGGGGAGCUGAUAUUAUGUCACCACUCGGAAGCAAUGAGCCUGCACAAGGUGGUGCCCCAGGAAGUGGAUGCAGAGGGAGCAGCGCAGCUUCCCCCUGCCCACCUGUGGGGAGUUGGUGGGAGUCACUGUGCCCGUCUGCAGGGCAGCUGUCAGCCUGCGCUGUGGGAAGUGGAGCAUGCAGCCCUUGCACCAUCCCUCAACAGGGGGACUGCCUGCCUGCAAGGAGCGUUGACUAGAAUCCAGAGUCUCAGCAUGUCCCAUGUGUCCAGAUUACAACUGAGAAUCAAGAAACAAGAAAAAUCACAACAGGGAUGAGAAAAAGUGAUCAAUACAGUAGGUGAAUCAGGUGUUGGAUUAUCUGACGUGGAUUUUGGAGUGCCUGUCACAAAAAUGCUUCCACAACUAAUCAAGAAUUCUCUGGAAAAAAAUUUAAAAGGUAGCAAAUCUCAGCAAAGGAAAAGAAGUUAUAAAAAAGAGCCACAUGGAAAUCGUAGAACUGAAAAAUACAAUACAUGAAAUAAAAAAUUCUUACUGGAUGGGCUGAAGAGAAGAGCAGAGAUGACAGAGGACAGAAUCAGAGACCUGGAGGAAAUACCAGAUCUGAACAAUGCUGUCAUCCAACCAGAGCUAAUAGACAUCUAUGCAACUCUCCACCCAAUAGCAGAAUUCACUGUUUUUUUUUCUUUUUUCUUUUUCUUUUUUUUAGCACCCAUGGACCCUUCAUCAAGAUGGACCACAUCUUGGGCCAUAAAACAAACCUCAACAAAUUUAAAACAAUUAAAAUCAUACAGAUUAUGUUUUUGACCAUAAUGGAAUCAAACUAGAAAUCGAUAACAAAGAGGCAAAAAAAAUCUCUAAGCCCUUGGAAAUCAAAAUUAUUCUUCUAAAUAAUACUUAAGUCAAAGAAUAACUCUCAAAGAAAUAAAAAAAAAUAAAGAAGUAAAUUUAAAUGAAAGUACAACAUAUCAAAAUAUGUGGGACAUAGUUAAGGUAAUCCCGAAAGGAAAGUUUUUAGCAUGAAAUGCUUACAUAAGAGAAGAAGAACUGCAAUUUCUCUACUGGGUAUCUACCCAAAGGAAAAGAAGUCAUUAUAUCAAAAAGA